rnacentral:tRNA from 1 species
AGUUAAAUAACUUAAGAAAAGUUUAUGUUUUGAAAACAUAAUAAAGGAGUUUAAAUCUCCUAUUAACUU